rnacentral:rRNA from 1 species
AUACGUAGGUGGCGAGCGUUGUCCGGAAUUACUGGGUGUAAAGGGCGUGUAGGCGGGGAUGUAAGUCAGAUGUGAAAUACCGAGGCUUAACUUCGGGGGUGCAUCUGAAACUAUGUUUCUUGAGUGCUGGAGAGGGAAGCGGAAUUCCUAGUGUAGCGGUGAAAUGCGUAGAUAUUAGGAGGAACACCAGUGGCGAAGGCGGCUUCCUGGACAGCAACUGACGCUGAGGCGCGAAAGCGUGGGUAGCGAACAGGAUUAGAUACCCUGGUAGUCCACGCCGUAAACGAUGGAUACUAGGUGUAGGAGGUAUCGACCCCUUCUGUGCCGGAGUUAACACAAUAAGUAUCCCACCUGGGGAGUACGACCGCAAGGUUGAA